UACGGAGGGCGCAAGCGUUGUUCGGAAUCACUGGGCGUAAAGCGCGUGUAGGCGGCCGGGCAAGUCGGGUGUGAAAUCCCGAGGCUCAACCUCGGAACUGCAUUCGAAACUGCUCGGCUAGAGUCCCGGAGAGGAUGGCAGAAUUCCCGGUGUAGGGGUGAAAUCCGUAGAUAUCGGGAGGAAUACCAGUGGCGAAGGCGGCCAUCUGGACGGUGACUGACGCUGAGACGCGAAAGCGUGGGGAGCAAACAGG
rnacentral:rRNA from 1 species